CUUGCUGCUUGAGUGGUCACUGGCCUCUUCUACUUCCAUAGUCUGGCAAGUUGGACGCAUUUCUGGUGCUGGAGCAGCUGCGGUGUAAUGGCGUGUUGGAGGGCAUCCGCAUCUGCCGUCAGGGCUUCCCCAACAGGAUUGUCUUCCAAGAGUUCCGGCAACGCUAUGAGAUCCUGGCAGCGAACGCCAUCCCCAAAGGCUUUAUGGAUGGAAAGCAAGCUUGCAUUCUCAUGAUCAAAGCCCUAGAACUUGACCCCAACCUGUACAGGAUUGGGCAGAGCAAAAUCUUCUUCCGAACGGGAGUCCUGGCCCACCUGGAGGAGGAACGAGACCUGAAGAUUACUGAUGUGAUCAUGGCCUUCCAGGCUAUGUGUCGUGGCUACCUGGCCAGAAAGUAAAUACAAUUUCCUGUAUC